CAUUUGUUUUCUAGAGCAGCAGAACGGCCAGGACCGGCACUGGCAGGAAGUGUAUUGCAUGUCAUGGGUUUGCUAAAUACAAUGUAACUAACUUAUGCAUGAUAUUGUGUCGGCUAAACUGUAUCCGCAGGCGUUACAAUUAUCAUCACAUAUAAUGAAUUUGAUUUCUAGCUUAAAAUUAACAUACCGUGCAUGCAAUACAUCAAUCAAAAAACAAUUACACAUUCAUAGAACCUAACAGGAUAAUGUGCAGAUAUUAGGAGUAUACUUUCGGAAUGCACUUUUCUGCAAACAAAUUCAAACCUACUCCGUUAGCUCCAGCAGAAGACUGUUGAGGUUUCGUUGUAGAUUUCGCGCGCAUCAAAACAAGUAUUUGCGGAAGCUUCAGCACCAUGCGCACAAACAGCGUGCUAAAGUUUGCGACAUAUAGUAGCUGGACUGAUUCCAUUAUUUCAUAAUUAGACGGAGAUCUAUCGACCUAUGGCUUCUGGGUGACUUGGUAGAUCACUCGCGAGUCGCGACUACAUAGCGGAUUUUACCUAGGGCUGCAAGUAACAUCUCCACAAAGGUGCAUUCCUAAUAAGAUUGGUGUUAAGUGAGAAAGAAUCCUAAAGAUGGUCAAAUGGGCAUGAAGCCUCUCUCUUCAUCUCAGUCUGUUGAACCACCAGAUUUCCUGUAGGGCAGAGAUGCAGGCCCUGCUGAACAAUGUAAAGCAGUCGAUGAAACACCUGCAGGGUCAGCUGAAUGACAUACAUGGAAAGUUUAUUGAGUUGCAGACUGCUAUCUCUCAGAUAGUGUCAGAUGAGUCUAAGAUACUGUAGAAUAACUCUAUGUUAUGGUGAGGAUGAUGAUUGAAAUGUUUGGGAUGGAUUGGUGUGAAUUACAUUAGAUUGCAAGUGGUAGAUUUUUCUUGAAUGACUGUAUGUGCUCUAUACUUCAUCCCAGAAGCCAACAUUGCUGCACAGACGGAGGUAAUCUCAACAUCCAAUCACAACAUCCCAACAAGCAGCAUUUCUGAACAGAGGGAAGAGAUCCUACCGAAAGCCGGUGUCCCUGUGAAGAAUAGAGACAAUCCUCCACAACCACCUCCCAUCAUCCCCAUGGUGGGACGAAAGUGGGAAUGGGAUGCUGGAGUGUGUACUAUUCCAAGAGAAGAGAUGUCCUGAGUAGACAUGUUGUGCAUCCUGCUAUGAUGUCCAUCACCAAGCCAGAACACUCCGAGGCCAACCCUCGAAGCCAGACUGGCAGCCGGGCCAGUGGCUGAGCCUGAGACCCCUGCGGCAAAGAACACACCAAACAAUGGUGGCUGGCUCAGCUGGUUCUCUGGAGGGGAAAAGAGGUUCAUCCGAAGGAGGCUCAUCUACCCGAGGACAAAGACAAAUCGAUUAUCUGGGAUCCAACCCUGCACAGAUGGGUUGACAAAAUUGAGCCCAAUGCUGAGAACAAGCCAGUACCACCACCUCCCCCGAUGGGAAUGAAUGGACAUCUGGGGAACUCUGGCAGUCUCCCCAAAGGAGUGAAUCCUUAGUCCAUGAAAGCAGGUGAAUGUUACUUUAGACUACAUUAGGCUUAACUCUAAGACUGUACCAGCCAAUCAUUGCUCUUUGUGGUGAUCUCCUGCUACCAUUUUCCCCACUAACUGCAAGUCUAUGGUUCAAUUAUGGACCACCACAAAGCCUCCAAGCCAGGGACUUGGACUGCGUCCUCCCUCACACUCUACCCUCAUUGCACCUAUGGCGUUGCCAUUUGAGUCUGCUCAAGAUAGCUGGAAGAAUCUUGCCCCUGGUAUUCUAUCCUAUAGAGGUAUUAUUCUGAACAAUCCUUCCAAAAAGAAUCAAUUUCAUUAACUAUGCCUUUACUUUACAGUAACAUACAGUAGUAUAUGGCUGAAGUAACAGUGAUGUUAACUUUUUGUAUUUUUGUCCCACAGGCAAUUUUCCCAGAGUGGAUUUCUUUAUAAGGGGAUUUUUCUGCAUUUUCAAAGAAUAAGAAAAAUAUUUAGCAAAGAAAAAUAUUAUUUGGCGAUUGCCAAAUUAGUUCUUAGUUAAAAGACUCAAGCAUUUCCCUCUCUCUGUCAUUUCGUCAUGUUCACAUAGCUUUGAUAUGUUCAUCACUUACAAGCCCAUUGAUAAUGAAAUUAAUCAUCUGUGUAGCUCCAGUUAUGCCUUAAUGCCAAAUAAAUGGGGGAAAUUGCACCA